rnacentral:rRNA from 1 species
AUUGAAGGCUGGCGGAAUGCUUUACACAUGCAAGUCGAACGGUAGAGGGGGCAACCCCUCGAGAGUGGCGAACGGGUGAGUAAUAUAUCGGAACGUGCCCAGUCGUGGGGGAUAACGUAGCGAAAGUUACGCUAAUACCGCAUACGAUCUAAGGAUGAAAGCGGGGGACCGUAAGGCCUCGCGCGAUUGGAGCGGCCGAUGUCAGAUUAGGUAGUUGGUGAGGUAAAGGCUCACCAAGCCGACGAUCUGUAGCUGGUCUGAGAGGACGACCAGCCACACUGGGACUGAGACACGGCCAAGACUCCUACGGGAGGCAGCAGUGGGGAAUUUUGGACAAUGGGCGCAAGCCUGAUCCAGCCAUUCCGCGUGCAGGACGAAGGCCUUCGGGUUGUAAACUGCUUUUGUACGGAACGAAAAGGCUCUGGUUAAUACCUGGGGCUCAUGACGGUACCGUAAGAAUAAGCACCGGCUAACUACGUGCCAGCCGCCGCCGUAA